rnacentral:rRNA from 1 species
GAUGAACGCUGGCGGCGUGCCUAAUACAUGCAAGUCGAGCGAACAGACGAGGAGCUUGCUCCUCUGACGUUAGCGGCGGACGGGUGAGUAACACGUGGAUAACCUACCUAUAAGACUGGGAUAACUUCGGGAAACCGGAGCUAAUACCGGAUAAUAUAUUGAACCGCAUGGUUCAAUAGUGAAAGACGGUUUUGCUGUCUCUUAUAGAUGGAUCCGCGCCGCAUUAGCUAUUUGGUAAGGUAACGGCUUACCAAGGCAACGAUGCGUAGCCGACCUGAGAGGGUGAUGGGACACACUGGAACUGAGACACGGUCCAGAGGCCUACGGGAGGAAGCAGUAGGGAAUCUUCCGCAAGGGGCGAAAGCAUGACGGAGCAACGCCGCGUGAGUGAUGAAGGUCUUCGGAUCGUAAAACUCUGUUAUUAGGGAAGAACAAAUGUGUAAGUAAAUAUGCACGUAUUGACGGUACCUAAUCAGAAAGCCACGGCUAACUGCGUG